rnacentral:rRNA from 1 species
UACGAAGGGGGCUAGCGUUGUUCGGAUUUACUGGGCGUAAAGCGCACGUAGGCGGAUCGUUAAGUCAGGGGUGAAAUCCUGGAGCUCAACUCCAGAACUGCCUUUGAUACUGGAGAGCUUGAGUCCGGAAGAGGUGAGUGGAACUCCGAGUGUAGAGGUGAAAUUCGUAGAUAUUCGCAAGAACACCAGUGGCGAAGGCGGCUCACUGGCCCGAUACUGACGCUGAGGCACGAAAGCGUGGGGAGCAAACAGG